rnacentral:rRNA from 1 species
AUUGAACGCUGGCGGCAGGCCUAACACAUGCAAGUCGAGCGGAUGAAGGGAGCUUGCUCCUGGAUUCAGCGGCGGACGGGUGAGUAAUGCCUAGGAAUCUGCCUGGUAGUGGGGGAUAACGUCCGGAAACGGGCGCUAAUACCGCAUACGUCCUGAGGGAGAAGGUGGGGGAUCUUCGGACCUCACGCUAUCAGAUGAGCCUAGGUCGGAUUAGCUAGUUGGUGGGGUAAAGGCCUACCAAGGCGACGAUCCGUAACUGGUCUGAGAGGAUGAUCAGUCACACUGGAACUGAGACACGGUCCAGACUCCUACGGGAGGCAGCAGUGGGGAAUAUUGGACAAUGGGCGAAAGCCUGAUUCAGCCAUGCCGCGUGUGUGAAGAAGGUCUUCGGAUUGUAAAGCACUUUAAGUUGGGAGGAAGGGCAGUAAGGUAAUACCUUGCUGUUUUGACGUUACCAACAGAAUAAGCACCGGCUAACUUCGUG